rnacentral:lncRNA from 1 species
UUCCUUAUUGGAUACACGCUUCCUCUCUCUCUUUCUCUCAUGGUAGUACACUUCUGUCAUUGUAUACAAGGUAUUCGUCGCCAAACUUUUGUCGUACCUAUACAAGAUAUUCUUUAUGUUGCUCAAGUUUGUGGAACUCACUGGUCGUGGGAUCACUUUGGACCAUCUGCUUAGUAUCUUCACCUCUCAACUUAUCCAUGACACGAUGCUUCAC